GCGAACUCUUUUGAAAGCAAAGACUUGGCUGACAAACUCUUAGCAUGUAAGUCUUCUCCCCUUCCCCCCUUUUCUGUCUGGAUAUUGAUUAGGACACCUGGAGAUACAGCAUCUACAAUGCUACCAUAAGAAAAAAGCCACCCAACAUGGCAGAGAAACAGACAGACAGAAGAUGGCUGGCUCCCUGGUGAUACCAAGAGCCUGUUACUUUAGCCCUGAACUGCCUGCCUCAGGAUGUGUUAUGUAAGAAAAGGAACACCCUGACAGUGUGCUGCUGUUAAUCACUUCUCUGUAUUUUGCCACUGAGCACAGUCUUUGCGACACAAAGCACGUCAGCUUCAGUCACAGAGGUCAGAUGAGUAAAAAAGGGAAAAGAAAAAAAUGUGGGAAGAAAGAAGCGAGAAAAGGAGGCAAAAUAAUUAAUAGAUGGGAUUCCUUUUUGUAUUAUUCUUGAAAUGACUGGAAUAAAAGAUGAUUCUCCAGAUUAUAUUCCAAAUACGCAGAAAAAUGCUAGCAAAUGUCAGAACUUGACAUCUUCAAACAAGAAUAGUUGUACACGUACCGACUACCUCCCUCCUGAGUCCCACUCUCAUGUCUAUGCUCCAGGGCACAACGUGGGCUCAUGCAUCAGGCCAAC
rnacentral:lncRNA from 1 species